rnacentral:rRNA from 1 species
AUUGAACGCUGGCGGCAGGCCUAACACAUGCAAGUCGAACGAGUGGCGGACGGGUUGGUAAUGUCUGUGAAACUGCCUGAUGGAGGGGGAUAACUACUGGAAACGGUAGCUAAUACCGCAUACCAUCGGAUGUGCCCAGAUGGGUUUAGCUAGUGGGUGGGGUAACGGCUCACCUAGGCGACGAUCCCUAGCUGGUCGGAGAGGAUGACCAGCCACACUGGAACUGAGACACGGUCCAGACUCCUACGGGAGGCAGCAGUGGGGAAUAUUGCACAAUGGGCGCAAGCCUGAUGCAGCCAUGCCGCGUGUAUGAAGAAGGCCUUCGGGUUGUAAAGUACUUUAAGCGGGGAGGCGUUACCAGCAGAAGAAGCACCGGCUAACUCCGUGCCAGCAGCCGCGGUAAUAC